ensembl:lncRNA
GUCCAUGAGCUGGUGCCGGGGGCCCCCAGGGGAGACGCGGGAGGUCUUGGAGGACCCCGAGCAGAUGUUGGGUGGCCCCAACGUGGACUUGGGGGUCCCAGAGGUGCUCGUGAUGCCGUUGGGUGACCCCAAGGGGGACUUGGGGGUCCCAGAGCUGCUCACACCGCUGUUGGGUGGCCCCGAGGUGGACUUGGGGGUCCCAGAGCUGCUCACGCUGCCAUUGGGUGGCCCCGACAUGGACUUGGGGGUCCCAGAGGUGCUCAUGAUGCUGUUAGGUGGCCCCAAGUUGGACUUGGGGUCCCAGAGGUGCUCGUGAUGCCGUUGGGUGGCCCCAAGGCGGAUUUGGGGGUCCCAGAGGUGCUCACGCUGCCGUUGGGUGACCCCAAGGUGGACUUGGGGGUCCCAUGGGUGCUCGUGCAGCAGUUGGGUGACCCCCAGUGAGACGUGGGGGUCCCGUAAAUGAUCACGUUGGCGUUGGGUGCCCUCAAGGCAAAUUUGGGGGUCCCGGAGGUCCUCACGCCRCCGUUGGGUGACCYCAAGGUGGACUUGGGGGUCCCAUGGGUGCUCGUGCAGCAGUUGGGUGCCCCCAACAUGGAUCUGGGGGUCCCACAGGUCCUCACGCAGCCAUUGGGUGACCCCAAAGUGGACUUGGGGGUCUUGGAGGUCCUCAUGCAGCCACGGGGUGCCCCCAACGUGGAUUUGGGGGUCCCACAGGUCCUCACUCAAUCAUUGGGUGACCCCAAGGUGGACUUGGGGGUCCCACGGGUCCUUACUCAGCCAUUGGGUGACCCCAAGAUGGACUUAGGGGUCCCACAGGUCCUCACGUGGCCAUUGGGUGACCCCAAGGUGGACUUGGGGGUCUUGGAGGUCCUCAUGCAGCCAUUGGGUGACCCCAACGUGGAUUUGGGGGUCCCAGAGGUGCUCGUGAUGCUGUUGGGUGGCCCCAGCGUGGACUUGGGGGUCUUGGAGGUCCUCAUGCGGCCAUUGGGUGACCCCAAGGUGGACUUGGGGGUCUUGGAGGUCCUCACUCAGCCAUUGGGUGACCCCAACGUAGAUCUGGGGGUCUUGGAGGUCCUCACGCAGCCAUUGGGUGACCCCAAUGUGGAUUUGGGGGUCCCACAGGUCCUCACUCAGCCACUGGGUGACCCCAACAUAGAUCUGGGGGUCUUGGAGGUCCUUAUGCAGCCACUGGGUGACCCCAAUAUGGACUUAGGGGUCCCACAGGUCCUCACAUGGCCAUUGGCUGCCCCCAACGUGGAUUUGGGGGUGCCACAAGUCCUCACGCAACCAUUGGGUGAGCCCAAGGUGGACUUGGGGGUCUUGGAGGUCCUCACGCGGCCAUUGGGUGCCCCCAAGGUGGAUCUGGGGGUCCCGGAGGUGCUCGCGCUGCCGUUGGGUGCCCUCAACGAGAAUCUGGGGGUCUUGGAGGUGCUCGUGCCACCAACAGGGCGCCCCCGGGGAGACGUGGGGGUCCCAGAGGUGCUCGCGCCGCUGUUGGGUGCCCUCAAGGUAAAUUUGGGGGUGUCGGAGGUGCUCGCGCCGCCGUUGGGUGCCCUCAACAUAAACUUAGGGGUCCUGGAGAUGCUCACGCCGCCAUUUGGUGGCCCCAAGGCGGGUUUGGGGGUCCCRCAGGUGCUCGCGCCGCCGUCGGGAGUCCCCCACGGGACGUGGGGGGUCCCGUAAGUGCUCACACCAGUCUUGGGUGCCCCCUAAGCGACAUGGAGGUCCCAUAGGUGCUCGUGUUGGCGUCGGGCGCCCCCGGCGCAGGCUGGGGGUCCCGUAAGAGCUCACACCGGUCUUGGGGGCCCCCUAAGCGACACGGGGGUCCCAUAGGAGCUCACACUGGCCUGGGGUGCCCCCUAAGUGACAUGGAGGUCCCAUAGGAGCUCACAGAGGUCUUGGGCAGCUCCUAAGCGACACGGAGGUCCCAUAAGAGCUCGCAUUGGCGUUGGGUGUCCUCCUAGGUGACACGGAGGUCCCAUAGGAGCUCAUACCGGUCUUGGGGGCCCCCUAAGCGACACGGAGGUCCCACAGGAGCUCAUACAGGUCUUGGGCACCUCCUAGGUGACACGGGGGUCCCAUAGGAGCUCACGCUGGUCUUGGGUGCCCCCUAAGUGACAUGAAGGUCCCAUAGGAGCUCAUAUCGGUCUUGGGUGCCCUCUAAAUGAUGUGGAGGUCCCAUAAGAGCUCAUAUUGGUCUUGGGUAUCUCCUAGGUGACAUGGAGGUCCCGUAGGAGCUCGUGCCAGUUUUGGGCACCUCUCAGAUGACACGGGGGUCCCAUAAGAGCUCACACAGGUCUUGGGCAUUUUCUAACUUACAGGAAGAUCCCAUAAGAGCUCACACCGGUCUUGGGCACCUCUUAGAUGACAUGGAGGUCCCACAGCAGCUCAUGCUGGUUUUGGGCGCCCCUGAGAAGAUCUGCGGGGCCCAUAAGAGCUCACACCGGCAUCGGGGGCACCUCCCAGGUGAUAUAGAG